rnacentral:tRNA from 1 species
GCCACCGUAGCGCAGAGGUUAGCAUUUCAGCCUUUGACGCUGAACGCCUUGGUUCGAAUCCUGGCGAAACCA